rnacentral:rRNA from 1 species
AUUGAACGCUGGCGGCAGGCCUAACACAUGCAAGUCGAACGAGCGGCGGACGGGUGAGUAAUGUCUGGGAAACUGCCUGAUGGAGGGGGCUAACGACUGGCAACGGUAGCUAAUACCGCAUACCAUCGGAUGUGCCCAGAUGGUAUUAGCUAGUGGGUGGGGUAACGGCUCACCUAGGCGACGAUUCCUAGCUGGUCUGAGAGGAUUAACAGCCAAACAUAAACUUAGAAACUGUUCAGUCUCCUACGUGUGGCAGCAGUGGGGAAUAUUGCACAAUGGGCGCCAGCCUGAUGCAGCGAUGCCGCGUGUGUGAAGAAGGCCUUCGGGUUGUAAAGGGCUUUCAGCGGUGAUGCGUUACCCACAGAAGAAGCACCGGCUAACUCCGUGCCAGCAGCCGCGGUAAUAC